GUGGUUCCCUGAUGGUUAGU
rnacentral:piRNA from 1 species